rnacentral:miRNA from 1 species
UAUGUGUGUGUGUGUAUGUGUGUGUGUGUGUAUGUAUACACACACACAUACAUACACACACAUAUACA